CGGAGGAUCCAAGCGUUAUACGGAUUUAUUGGGUUUAAAGGGUGCGUAGGCGGCUUAUUAAGUCAGGGGUGAAAGACGGUGGCUCAACCAUCGCAGUGCCUUUGAUACUGAUGAGCUUGAAUGAACUAGAGGUAGGCGGAAUGUGACAAGUAGCGGUGAAAUGCAUAGAUAUGUCACAGAACACCGAUUGCGAAGGCAGCUUACUAUGGUUUAUUGACGCUGAGGCACGAAAGCGUGGGAUCAAACAGGAUU
rnacentral:rRNA from 1 species